rfam:TPA: Bos taurus chromosome 23, whole genome shotgun sequence.
UCCCUGGUGGCUCCGUUGGUAAAGAAUCUGCCUGCAAUGCAGGAGACCCAGGUUCAAUCCCUGGGUCGGGAA